AGCAGCCGCGGUAAUUCCAGCUCCAAUAGCGUAUAUUAAAGUUGUUGCAGUUAAAAAGCUCGUAGUUGAAUUUCAGGCCUGGCUGGACGGUCCGCCCUUCGGGUGAGUACUGUCUGUGGUCGGGUCCUACCUUCUGGCGAAGCGUCAUGGCCUUAACCGGCCGUGGCGGGGAACCAGGACUUUUACUGUGAAAAAAUUAGAGUGUUCAAAGCAGGCAAAUCGCUUGGAUACAUUAGCAUGGAAUAAUGGAAUAGGACGAUGGUUCUAUUUGUUGGUUUCUAGGACCGUUGUAAUGAUUAAUAGGGAUAGUUGGGGGCAUUAGUAUUCAAUUGUCAGAGGUGAAAUUCUUGGAUUUAUUGAAGACUAACUACUGCGAAAGCAUCUGCCAAGGAUGUUUUCAUUAAUCAAGAACGAAAGUUAGGGGAUCGAAGACGAUCAGAUACCGUCGUAGUCUUAACCAUAAACUAUGCCGACUAGGAAUCGGCGAUGUUGACAAAAUGACGCGCUCGGCACCUCAUGG
rnacentral:rRNA from 1 species